rnacentral:rRNA from 1 species
ACGAACGCUGGCGGCGUGCCUAAUACAUGCAAGUCGUACGAGAAAGUCCUUUGGGACGAGUAGAGUGGCGCACGGGAGAGUAAUACAUCGGAACGUACCUUUUGGUGGGGGAUAACCACGGGAAACUGUGGCUAAAACCGCAUAAUGACGUGAGUCUAAAGCAGGCCUCUAUUUAUAAGCUUGUGCCAACAGAGCGGCCGAUGCCCCAUUAGCUAGUUGGUAGGGUAAUGGCCUACCAAGGCGACGAUGGGUAGGUGGUCUGAGAGGAUGAUCACCCUCACUGGGACUGAGACACGGCCCAGACUCCUACGGGAGGCAGCAGUAGGGAAUUUUGCACAAUGGGCGCAAGCCUGAUGCAGCAACGCCGCGUGAGUGAAGAAGGCUCUUGGGUUGUAAAGCUCUUUCGGCCAAGAAGAAGGGUUUGCCUGCGAACAGCUUGCAGAUCUGACGGUAUUGGAAGAAGAAGCACCUGCUAACUUCGU